UAUUUAGGUAUGUGAAACAGUGUGAGCUGUUCUUUCAUAAAAGACUGAUAUCCUAUUCCUUAUUUGGCAGUGAGUGCCUCCCCUAAUGUCAGACUAGCUGUGGCUAGGACCCUCUACUCUACACUAGACAAUACACAAUUUAUCUCUGCCAAUCAAUCCUUUUCUCAAGACAUCAGUUCAAUCAUAUCAAAACUAAAAGAAGAUAGAGACAGAGAUGUUCGCUACUACUCCGGAAAUUAUGAAGACAUCAACAACAACACAAGGACCUCUCUCUCUCCCUCUACCCCUUCAGCUCAGCAGCUGCAACAAUUUGAAAAUACUCAAGAAGAUACUGAAUAUAAACUGGAUAUAGCAAAUGCUGGUAGCAUAUUGCAAUUAACUUAAUCUAUUUAUUUACUAUUUUAUUGCUCUUAUUGGUAUUAAUAUUAUUAUUAUUAUUA